AGUGCUUGCACUCUGAGUGGCGCACGGCUGAGGACCACGUGGGAACAUGCCCUUUAGUGGGGGACAACAGCGCGAAAGCGCUGCUAAUCCCGCAUACGCUCCAGUUUCUGGAGGAAAGCUCGAAAGAGCGCUGGAGGAGUGGCCCGCGGCCCAUCAGGUCGUAGGUGGGGUAACGGCCUACCUAGCCGAUGACGGGUAGCUGGUCUGUGAGGACAGACAGCCAGACUGGGACUGAGACACGGCCCAGACUCCUACGGGAGGCAGCAGCAAGGAAUUUUCGUCAAUGGGCGCAAGCCUGAACGAGCAACGCCGCGUGCAGGAUGACGGCCUUCGGGUUGUAAACUGCUUUUUCGGGGGAAGACAACGACGGUACCCCGGGAAUAAGGCUCGGCUAACUCUGUGCCAGCAGCCGCGGUAAGACAGAGGAGCCAAGCGUUGUCCGGAUUGACUGGGCGUAAAGCGCACGCAGGCGGUCUGGCGCGUGGGGUGUGAAAUCUGGCCGCUUAACGGCCAGGCGCCAUCCCAUACGGCCGGACUGGAGCCUUGCAGAGGGCGGUGGAAUUGCCGGUGUAGUGGUGAAAUGCGUAGAGAUCGGCAGGAACACCCAGGGGGAAACCAGCCGCCUGGGCAAGCGCUGACGCUGAGGUGCGAGAGCGUGGGGAGCGAACCGGAUUAGAUACCCGGGUAGUCCACGCCGUAAACGAUGGCCACUCGGCCUUUGGGCGCGGAACCUCCGUGCCUGGGGGCCUUAGCUAACGCGGGAAGUGGCCCGCCUGGGAACUACGAGCGCAAGCUU
rnacentral:rRNA from 1 species